GGAGGGUUCGCAUAGUGGCCUAGUGCGGCCGCCUGCUAAGCGGCUUGGGGGUGUUGAGCUCCCUCGCGGGUUCGAAUCCCGCACCCUCCGCCA
rnacentral:tRNA from 4 species